UUAUUAUUGCAUGCUUCAUGUUAAUAUUUCAGUGUGGUUAUUAUGUAAUUGCAUGCAAUAUUCUCAUAUGAAGUUUUGUCAUUGGAACCUCCCCCUCUAUUUUUACAAGUGCUGUGUUUCAUCACAAGAAAAUACUAUUUGAUACAGAUAUGUGUAUGUGUUUACCUGAAGAUCAGAUCAAUUCUUGAAACUGACAUAAACCACUAUAUUGCAGCAAUAGACAUUGUAGUUUAGAAGACAGGCAAGAAAUGAGCCUAUUACUUUAAUUGGAAAGGCGCAUUCCUAAAUAAUCUCUUUGAUUUCAGUACCUGUUUAUCAUGUGCAGUGGUAUCAGAGGCCAGCCCUUGUCCGGUCACUGAAUAUGGGCACAUGAACUGAUCAUGCCAAGUGUGAAGGACUCCUGUGAAGACUACAGACUCACUGUUCAGCAGCUUGAUGGAUCAGACUUACAGGUCAUAAAUACUCUUAAAGCUUUGCAGAGGAGAGGGCCAUUCACAAGCUGGGGUUGGGAAAACAAUAUGUGUGAAAUAUAAAAUAGAAGACUCAAGAACACUUGUAAUCAAUUACCUGGCAGUGAUAAAUCACCUCUAGAGAAAGAGGGGAGUAACAGGAAAGGGAAACAGGGGUUCGAGAUGAUGAUAAACCAUUGUAACGUUAAUUUGGCAUCAUAGCAUAGAUGCUGUGCAGUUAUCUUGAAAUGUCUCCGAGUCUCUUCUUUGCUCAAAUUGCUAGUCUCUUGUGUAAACUUAGUUUGUUUUCUUAUGUAGAUCUGAGCAACGUUGUGUUCAUAUGCUACCUUUCAAUUUACAUGAGUGGUGACCUGACCCAUGUGGUCUGUGGGACAGCGGCACUCCACUGCUCUUUGGUAGUGCCAUCACAGGCAGUGGCUGUUAAUUGCCUGUCUUCCUUCAUUGCACACCUGAGCAAGUCAGAGAUGGCAGGAGGUUUUGACUUGGUUUAGCUCACAGGCAGGACUGAGAACAAGGCCUAGAUUUACCAUGUCACUCUCAGGUUCAAUCUGCUACUAUUCAGCAGCUGCCUUGUUUAUCCUGUCUCAUGCUUGAUUAGAAGUUUGAGUAGAUGAAUUUCCUCUUCAGGUUAAAAUGCUGCAGCCUCCUCACAUGAUUUCUCUUGUUGUUUCAGCCAAAUAUACGUGCUUGCUGCUGAAUAUUUGAGAAACCCUGUGAGGAAGUCAGAUCAAAGCUGCAUCUAAUCAUGUCUUCUGCACUGACUGUGCUUGGCAGUGGAGGCUAAAGGAGGGCAAUAAAGCUCAGGGUAUUGAAGAAGUCUCCAGAAGUACCAAGAGCUGCUGAGCCUGAGCUGUUAGGGUGAGUCCUUCCUCAAAAGCACCAGGCCAGUCUUUAAAGGGAUUCUCAGUAUGGAAAAAAUAACCCUGGAGAAGAGAGAGAAUGGACCCAUGAUGAAGCACAGUAGCAAGGAAUGGCAUCUCUGUAAAAUUAAAUGACUCACAAUUUCCCAACUGAAUGUAAAUAUGCUUUGUUCUAUGAAAAUAGUACGACUCCCCCUCCCUGAAAUGUCACUGAAAAAAACUGUAAAAGCCUAGCAUCACUGGACAUUUAUGUUUCUGCUCUCUUUAUUUUUACUUUAGCUCUGUAGUAAUACUUACUGGUACUCAUGUUGGGCUCUCCUGCGCCAUCAAAGAUAAUGGCAACAACUCACACUGUCUGCAAUAACAGCAGAACUGAACCUAGCAUGAGCCUGAUCCAGUUUGGUGGUGAAAAGCGUGAACCAAGCAGUGGACUCCCUGCAGUGCUUGUAACCUGAUUCUGUUCAGUUAAUAGUCUGAAAUCUCCAAUUAACCUUCAAGGUACGGAAGAGUGUUGCAAAUACCUGAGUUUAUUUUAGUAUUUUAAAUUUUGCCUUGCUGCUGCAGUGUAAGUGGUGUGUGCUAAUAUCAGCUACACAGUAAAAAUCAAAUUACUGAUCAA